AGGGUCAUUAUUGCCCAGUUGGGACAUGGUCCAAAUUCCUCUACCCAUGUCCAGCUGGGUCCAUCAAUCCCUUCACUCAGACGGCAAAGGUCCAGGACUGCCUACCAUGUCCACCAGGUUUGUUUUGUGCAUCACCUGGAUUGGCUGUCGCAUCAGGCCAGUGUAAGGCUGGUUAUUAUUGCACCUCUGGGGCUUCGUCGCCCACACCAGCUGAUGAUGGCUUGACAGGUGACCGCUGUCCUGAGGGCCAUUAUUGUCCACAGGGUUCCUCAGCUCCAUUAUCUUGUCCAGCGGGACAUUACAGCAAUCAAACCGGGAACAGUCAAAUAUCUGACUGCUUGCCGUGUCCCUCAGGGUUUCUUUGCACCACCGGAGGGCUCUCUUUACCUUCUCUCCUGUGCUCAGCAGGCUUUUACUGCCCUAGCCUCAAUACAUCAAUACCUUGCCCUUCUGGAAAUAGGUGUCCACCUGGAUCUCACAAACCAGUA